UGAGGAAUAUUGGUCAAUGGGGCGGAAGCCUGAACCAGCCAAGUAGCGUGCAGGACGACGGCCCUAUGGGUUGUAAACUGCUUUUAUGCGGGGAUAAAGUGGGCCACGCGUGGCCUUUUGCAGGUACCGCAUGAAUAAGGACCGGCUAAUUCCGUGCCAGCAGCCGCGGUAAUACGGAAGGUCCGGGCGUUAUCCGGAUUUAUUGGGUUUAAAGGGAGCGCAGGCCGCCGGGCAAGCGUGUUGUGAAAUGCAGUCGCUCAACGUCUGCACUGCAGCGCGAACUGCCCAGCUUGAGUGCGCGCAACGUUGGCGGAAUUCGCCGUGUAGCGGUGAAAUGCUUAGAUAUGGCGAAGAACUCCGAUUGCGAAGGCAGCUGACGGGGUAG
rnacentral:rRNA from 1 species